rnacentral:misc_RNA from 1 species
AGAAAAUAAGACUACUCCUAAAAAUACAGGAUAUUUGAAUCACAGGCAACAUAUUCAUCUCCAAAACAACUCUUUGCCUAUAUUACCUACCCACCGUAGGCUAAAAGUUACCAGUCAUUAUAAACAAUCGUGUCACAUGAAAGAAACCAAUAAGCAUAUUUUGCAAAAGAAAUUAGUAACUUAACACUAAAAAUUUUAUUUGGCAUGUAAAGCAUGGCCAUAAUCUUCCUCUUUAUCAACUAAGCUACAAUUGAAUCAAUUAUAUCAUGCCUAAUUAUAAAUGUCAAGGCAAUUUAUAAUUUUGUCCCAGGAGUAUGAUAUAAAUUUUUGGGAUAAAGAGAAUCCAUAUAGCCG